rnacentral:rRNA from 1 species
UACGUAGGGGGCAAGCGUUGUCCGGAAUCAUUGGGCGUAAAGCGCGUGUAGGCGGUUCGGUAAGUCUGCUGUGAAAGUCCAGGGCUCAACCCUGGGAUGCCGGUGGAUACUGUCGGACUAGAGUACGGAAGAGGCGAGUGGAAUUCCCGGUGUAGCGGUGAAAUGCGCAGAUAUCGGGGAGGAACACCAAUUGCGAAGGCAGCUCGCUGGGACGUUACUGACGCUGAGACGCGAAAAGCGUGGGGGAGCAAACAGG